rnacentral:rRNA from 1 species
UACGGAGGGUGCAAGCGUUAUCCGGAUUCACUGGGCUUAAAGGGUGCGUAGGCGGGCAGGUAAGUCCGUGGUGAAAUCUCUGAGCUUAACUCAGAAACUGCCAUGGGUACUAUUUGUCUUGAAUAUUGUGGAGGUAAGCGGAAUAUGUCAUGUAGCGGUGAAAUGCUUAGAUAUGGCAUAGAACACCAAUUGCGAAGGCAGCUUACUACACAGUCAUUGACGCUGAGGCACGAAAGCGUGGGGAUCAAACAGG